rnacentral:rRNA from 1 species
GAAUAUGCACAAUGGGCGCAAGCCUGAUGCAGCCAUGCCGCGUGAGCGAUGAAGGCCUUAGGGUUGUAAAACUCUUUCAUCGGUGAAGAUAAUGAUGGUAGCCGAAGAAGAAGUCCCGGCUAACUCCGUGCCAGCAGCCGCGGUAAUACGGAGGGGACUAGCGUUGUUUGGAAUUAUUGGGCGUAAAGCGCGCGUAGGCGGGCUGGUCAGUAGGGGGUGAAAUCCCGAGGCUUAACCUCGGAACUGCCUUCAAUACUGCCAGUCUUGAGUUCGGAAGAGGUGAGUGGAAUUCCUAGUGUAGAGGUGAAAUUCGUAGAUAUUAGGAAGAACACCAGUGGCGAAGGCGGCUCACUGGUCCGAUACUGACGCUGAGGUGCGAAAGCGUGGGGAGCGAACAGGAUUAGAUACCCUGGUAGUCCACGCCGUA